GUAAGGAAUAUUGGACAAUGCUCGCAAGAGUGAUCCAGCCAUGCCGCGUGCAGGAAGACGGCCCUAUGGGUUGUAAACUGCUUUUGAACUAGAGAAAACCCCCCUUCGUGAAGGGGGCUGAUAGUAUAGUUAGAAUAAGCAUCGGCUAACUUCGUGCCAGCAGCCGCGGUAAGACGAAGGAUGCAAGCGUUAUCCGGAUUCAUUGGGUUUAAAGGGAGCGUAGGUGGAUUUGUAAGUCAGUGGUGAAAGCCGGCAGCUUAACUGUCGAACUGCCAUUGAUACUGCGGAUCUUGAGUAUGGUUGCUGUGGGCGGAAUAUGACAUGUAGAGGUGAAAUUCAUAGAGAUGUCAUAGAACACCGAUUGCGAAGGCAGCUCACAAAGCCAUUACUGACACUGAGGCUCGAAAGUGCGGGGAUCAAACAGGAUUAGAUACCCCUGUAGUCC
rnacentral:rRNA from 1 species